GCGGCCCCCGCCGUGACCCGCCGCGGGCAGCCUAGGGGGGCUGCGGCAGGCCGGCCCUGGGGUGCAUGGAGGCACCCCCCGCCCGCAGAGAGGUGUGAAUCCCCCGGAGGACACCGCGCCUCGGCUCGGCUCGGCCCCGCAAGGCGAGCGGCCCUGGGUCUCCCUCGCCGGGCCCGGCCGGGCUGCAGCAGGGACAAGGAAGGGGUUUAGGACCUUAAAAAUAGCAUCGCCCCCAUUAACCAGGCAGCUGCUGCUGCUGCCUCCUGAGAAAUGAAGAAGUUUUUCGACUCGCGUCGGGAGCAGGGUGGCUCUGGCCCCGGGUCGGGGACCAGCGGCGGCGGCGGCGGCAGCGGCGGCCCGGGCAGCGGGUACAUCGGGCGGGUGUUCAGCAUCGGCCGGCAUCAGGUGACGGUGGACGAGGUGCUGGCGGAAGGUGGAUUUGCGAUAGUGUUUCUCGUGAGGACUAACAAUGGGAUGAAAUGUGCCCUGAAGCGUAUGUACGUCAAUAACGAGUAUGACUUGCAAGUCUGCAAAAGAGAAAUCCAAAUCAUGCGGGAUCUAUCUGGCCACAAAAACAUUGUUGGGUACAUCGAUUCCAGUAUAAACUCAGUGAGCAGCGGUGACGUCUGGGAAGUGCUGAUACUAAUGGACUUCUGUCGAGGAGGUCAAGUUGUGAACCUCAUGAACCAGCGUCUGCAGACGGGUUUCACGGAGAAUGAGGUCCUGCAGAUCUUCUGUGACACCUGCGAAGCCGUAGCCAGGUUGCAUCAGUGUAAAACACCAAUAAUCCACAGGGAUUUGAAGGUUGAAAACAUCCUGCUGCACGACCGUGGCCACUAUGUCCUGUGUGACUUUGGAAGUGCUACUAACAAAUUCCAGAACCCUCAGACAGAAGGGGUGAACGCAGUAGAGGAGGAGAUCAAAAAAUACACUACGUUAUCGUAUAGAGCACCAGAAAUGGUCAACCUCUAUAGUGGCAAACUCAUUACUACAAAAGCAGACAUAUGGGCCCUGGGCUGUUUGCUGUACAAGCUGUGCUACUUCACCUUGCCGUUUGGGGAGAGCCAGGUGGCAAUCUGUGAUGGCAACUUCACCAUCCCUGAUAACUCUCGGCACUCACAAGACAUGCACUGCCUCAUCCGGUAUAUGCUUGAGCCAGACCCUGAUAAGAGACCCGAUAUUUAUCAGGUCUCCUACUUCGCAUUCAAACUGGCAAAGAAGGAGUGCCCAGUCCAGAACGUCCAGAACUCUCCGAUCCCCGCUAAACUCCCAGACCCCAUUAAAGCAAGUGAAGCUGCUGCAAAGAAGAGUCAGCCAAAGGCCAGGCUGACAGAUCCCAUCCCUACAACAGAAACUUCCAUAGCACCCCGCCAGAGACCUAAAGCAGGACAGACACAGCCCAACCCUGGGAUUUUACCCAUUCAGCCAGCCCUGACGCCCAGGAAGAGACCCACUGCUCAAGCAGCCAUUCAGCCACAAGUUGCAGGACCUGCUGCCCUGGGCAGUGGGCAGCCUUCACUCCCUGCCAGUGUCCCCCAGCAAAAAGCAGCCCCUCAGCAGACUCCGGCACAGCCUCAAGCCAAGCAGGCGCCGGCUCCGCAGCAGCCCUCGCAGGCACAGCCCCAGGUCCCUUCUACUCAGCCACAAGCCACGCCUCAGCACCAACAGCAGCUUUUCUUGAAGCAGCAGCUUCUGCAACAGCAGCAGCAGCAGCAACAGGCUGCGUAUUACCAGCAGCAGCAGCAGAUGAUGCAAGCUCAGCAGUUCCCAGUGAUGCAGCAAGGAGCGCCAGCGCAGCAGCAGAUGAUGCAGAACUAUUACCAGCAGCAGCAGCAACAGCAGCAGCAGAUGAUGGCCCAGCAGGCAGCAAUGCAGCAGAAGACAGCAGCAGCAGCAGUUCAGCAAAAGCAACAAACCCCAGUGCCACCGCAGCCGUCCCAGGCUCAGCCGAGCACGGCUCAGCCAGCGCAGCCACAGGAGCAGGCACAAAUGAGGCAACAGCAAAAACCUCAAACCACUCCCCCCGCGGCCGUGCAGGGGCAGAAGCUGGGCUCUCUCACCCCUCCAUCCUCCCCCAAGACGCAGCGUGCGGGACACAGGAGGAUUCUGAGUGACGUGACCCACAGCGCGGUUUUUGGGGUUCCAGCCAGCAAGUCUACCCAGCUCCUGCAGGCAGCUGCUGCUGAGGCCAGUCUCAACAAGUCCAAAUCUGCUUCCACCACACCCUCGGGUUCCCCAAGGACCUCCCAGCAGAAUGUCUAUAACCCACCCGAUGUCUCCACGUGGAAUCCCUUUGAUGAUGAUAACUUCUCCAAGCUCACAGCUGAGGAGCUGCUGAACAAGGACUUUGCAAAGCUGGGUGACGGGAAAGCUUCAGAAAAGAUGGGCAGUUCCACAGAGAACUUGAUUCCAGGUUUCCAGCCGGCUUCGUCUGCGGCCCAGGCAGAUGCGUUUGGUGGCUCUUCCUUCACUGCUGGAUCAGCUGAAAAAACGAAAGACAUUCUGAGUCUGGACAGUAGCCCUCCUCUUCUGACUGUGCCUGAUCCUUUCAUUCCUCUCCCGUUAUCCGACACACCAGAAAAACUGAUUGAGGGACUCAAAUCUCCUGAGACUGCGCUUCUGCUCCCUGAUAUCCUGCCUCUUGCUGACCCCUUCGGUAGCACGUCAGACGCUGUGAAUGGAAAACCCGACGUAGCUGUUGAGAGUCUCAUUCCGGGCCUCGAGGCGCCGUUGCCCCAACGCCUGGUGUCCCAGACUGAGUCGGUUGCCUCCAACAGAACAGACUCUCUCACUGGGGAAGACUCUCUGCUUGACUGUUCUCUGCUUUCUAACCCUGCUGCUGACCUCUUGGAUGAGUUUGCUCCCGUAGCUUUCACAACUCAACCUCACAAAGAAGAUACUAACCUGAUAUCAGGCUUUGAUGCUCCUGAGGGCUCUGAAAAAGUGACAGAAGAUGAAUUUGACCCAAUUCCAGUGUUGAUAUCCAAAAAUUCACAAGGUGGGCAUUCUAGAAACAACAGUGGAAGCUCUGAGUCCAGUCUUCCCAACAUAGCCAGGUCUUUACUGCUGGUGGAUCAGCUCAUAGACCUGUAGCAGUGACACAGUAGCAGACGCAGUUUCUGUAACGUACCUAAUCCUCCAUUUUCAUUUCCAGAAGAGUUAUCUUCCGUUGUGGUUCUUUUGGGCUGCUUUUUCCUUUUUUUUUUUUUUUUCCCUUUUUCCUUAAUUAAAAGAAAAACCAAUCUGCCAACAGGAGACAGUCACCCACCUUUCUCCCUGUCUUCCCGUGUGCUGGGAAAGAGCCUGUCUCAGUUCUCCAGGUAGUCCUCUCUCUAAAGCUGGUAAAAAACCCCUUGUGGUUCCUUCUGCACCGUCUUUGCUAGCCUGUGUCUCGAGGGAGCACCGCCGAGAUGUGCACGUAGCGCCAUGGAAAGCCUCACUGUACAUGAAGUAGAUAAUUGUAGCUGCUGUGUGACCCCUGCGUGCUACAGACUCCUCUCUCCUUAGACUAGUGCGUGAACAACUGUGUUUCAAUCUCUGUGUUUUUGGGUUUGGUUUUCUUGUUUCGUUCCUGUUUUCUAACGAAGGGGCAGGUGAAGUGGGUAGGGAUGUCCCUCUCCUGCAGAAUCCGGGUUAGGGCAGCCCAUGUUUCUAGAUUUGCCAGGAGGUGCUUCAGAGGAGGAGGAGGAGGAGGAGGAAGCCCUGAGCGACUCUGCCCUAGUCUUGCCCAGUCCCUCUGGUGAUGGUGCAGAUGAAGAGAUUUUCCCGGACUGCCCCCAGCUCAUGGUUUGCUCUUUAACAGUCCUGCUUGUGAAUGAACUGCGCUUCCUUGGGGAGGGGGAAAAAGAAAAAAAAAAAAAGAAAAAAGAAAAAACCAAACCAGAACAGAUUGUUAAAGCUGCAAAAAUGACCCUAAGUAAAACAUAACAAGGUUUUGAACCAAAUACAUGUGAGUAUGGCCGUGACUAGCAUUUUGUUUGACCUCUUUUGGAUGAAAAGGGCAUUGUGGCAGCGGAAGAUGUAUUUUCUGUGACUUUUCUGUGUUCGACCGGAAAAAAGAAAAUCCCCCCCCAACCUACUGUAAAUUGUGUAUGAAACAAAUUGUCCUACGGCUGUUUGUCUAUUUUUAAUCCUGGUUUUAGUCAAGCAUCUGGUAUCUGUUCUGGGUUCCCCGUUUUCUCUUGUAAUUGCAUAUAGUGCAAACCAGUUGAGUAUGGAACCAUUUGUUUCAGUAGACAAAGAUUCCUGUGGACUUUAUUCCACUCCUCAGUCUCUGGGGAACAAGCAUGCACUUGGUUCAGACGGUUUGAAAUAAGUGCUGCUACAACGUGAUGGGUUUCACCUUUUCUUUUUCCCUUCACAUGCUUAGUUUGUCAACUAGCUGGAUACGCUAAACUUGUUUUCAUUGGCUUAUGGUCAUGAAGUCCGGAAUUUCUAUCUUGUAUUUGAAAGCUCUUUCUGAACAGAAGGACUAUUCCUCUGUAGUGGAAUAAUUAAUAGCUUACUGCUAACCUUGUGUAUGUGUAUGUAGCUGUAUUAGUAAAAGUGCAGUUUCCCACGUGCGAAAGUAUGAACGACUGACAUGUGUAUGUACUGACCUCUCGCUGAGAAGGAAAGAAAUCAAAGUUCCUGAUUCCUCCUUUCCUAUCUCCGGUCUCUCCGCUCUUCCCCCACCCCAACACUUAGUUUAACAAAUUCUGUAAAUAGAUCUCCCAUCGAUUGUGUCUGCUCUACAUUGCUCUUCUUUUAAAACCUACACUUAAUAAUAAAAGUAUUGCUUAAGUGUGUUGUAUCAUUACAUGUGUAUACUGCACUUUCCAGGAGAAGCUUUACAUGAGAACUAUGGAAAUGACCUUAGUAAAAUUGUGGAUAGAACUUUAUUAUUUUUUUGUUUUAUAUUCUUAAAGCACAGGCAAGCUGGACUGGAAAACAUGAAGACACUAUAGAUAGAAAGUUAUUGUAUAGUCAGAUACUGAGAUUAUAUGAAAAGAGAAUGGAUUUUAAAAAGUAACCAUCUACUGUAUAUUAGAAACAAAGAUUUCUGUGAAUUAAAGUACUUUUAAAGAAUGUUUAAGAUUUUAAAUCUAAUGGCACUUGUUCAAGGGUUCUGGAAAAAAUUAUAAAUGCACUGGGUUGUUAAUAAUGCUAUUAAAUAAGCAGAUGUGAAUGUUUAUUUUAUUGCUUUCUCAAGUAGCUGUUCAUGGAUCUGGGUGGGAAAUCCGAUACGAUGGAAGAAUACACUUUCAGAGAUGCUGAUUAUCUAGAGCUCCUUCAUCAGAAAAUACUUGCCAUUUAUUUGCGGAAUGAAUGGGAAGUGCGAGAGGUGAAAUGAGUGGGUAUUUGGGAUUAAUUGUAAGGUGUUCAAAAAAUGUGACUGUCCUACAGGCGUUAGGUUAGUGUUGGCGUGUGCUAAAGCCGUGAGGAGUUUGUGUGAAAGCUGCUGCUGUGAAGGAACAAAUGGACCUUUGAGCCGGUGUCCCCAUGGGAGGUGUUUGGUACCAGCGUUCCCAAACUGGUGUAAGAGUGACUCUCGUGUGUAGUGGUGGUUGGAGCCUUGUCUGAAGCCCUGGGAGAUGUUUCUGUCCCCUUUUAAGGGUCGUGGGGCUGGGUGGUGUGAAGUAACAGAACACAAACCUACUCUCAGCAAAAUCCCAGCUGAGUGGUCCGUUCUCCUCUGCCUGGUCCGUGCUCUUUGUUCACCUGGGGAUGGUGGAGGAGCCUUUCAGCCCUGAGAGGCUGGAGCUGGUUGUGGUGUUCUUGGCAUUGACUAUUUUGAUGGAUCCUCCUGAUGAGGGUACAACAAAAGCAACCAUACACAGAGCAAUUCCUCUCAAGUUGAGUUUGUGCUUUGGAUGCAAGAAUAAACUCUGGGUUUUGAGGUGGCAAGAUGUUAAAUGGAACAGUGGGAGCUUGGGUGGUGGUUCUUGCUUUGUCUGAGGGGGCUUGAGUUUUGAACUGUCCCUGCCUCUCGAAAUCCCCCCCAUUCAUCUUUUAACUGAAUGAGCACCCACAAUCCAGAGUCAGCAAAUUUGCGUUGUUUCUGACAAUAUCCACCGUGUCGGGAGCAUCUGGCCCAGAACCAGAAGGUGCAGGUUCCUGAACUGGGGCUGUCCAAGUCUUCAGGGGCUUCUUGGGAUUUGACCAGGGCUCAGGUACUGUGAGACCUGCUGGAGAAGUCUGAGAGGGGUGGAAGAAUCCUAGCCCUAUGGCUCUGAUGGAGCUUCUGUGUUCUUGCACAGCCCAUUUAACGUGAGUCCAUGGCAACUUGACUGAAUCUUGGUAGAGUUAAAUUAUUUUUAGAGGGGCUUCCUGUAACUGAAUGAUGGUGUUCUUCGACCUGGAAGUUCGCAGGUUAUUGCUGCCAGUGACUUUCCAAAACCACCUUAUUUAAAAAUAAUAAUCAUUGUUACAAUGAAAGUUCAGGUGUGAUUCAGACCAAAGACUGAGUUCAGCAAGUUUUGGGGUAUCCAGACAAACCUAAACCGUGGAGCACGUGGGGCCUCUGGCUACAGAAAAUGGCAUCAGGCACAGGGGGUGCGGUGCUGGGGUCUGUGUGGAGUAAGUUGUUUUUUUUUUAACCAAUACAUUUUGUAGUUUGGGAGCUCUCAGGGGAAUGGGGCAGAGUUGGGGAGCAGCUGCGGUGGGUGUGGGGGAAGCGUGAAUGAUGUGGGGAGUGCUGUGAGCAGAGGGGCUCCUCCGUCACCUCGGGUACCGACGGGGUGAGAUGAGUUCCUGGGACUUGGCUGAGACACGUGGGCGCUGCGCAGGGAAACUGCAUCGCUCCAGCAGGACUUGAGGGAUGAGGGGGAAGAAGGUUUUCUUUGUAUUUAUUCUUUGUUCCUGUGGAGUCUAUUUCCGUAGCUGAAACGCUGUGCUCUGGGGACAGCCGUGCCUCCGCAGCAGAUCUGGCUGUUCCUGAGGAGGAAGGGUGGGUCGCUUGGCUGGGGUUGUUGUAAGGACAUUACUGAUGUGAGACUCGUGCUCCUGCCCUCCACGGGAGGGAGUUUAACCCCUAGGAACUCGCCUUAUGUUUUUCCUAGAAGGUCACAGGCUGCCUCUUAAAAAUGUCUUGCAUACGUAACACUUGGCUUGUGCACAGUACAACUGAGGGGGAACCAAAGGAUGCUCCUUCGUCCCCAGCUGCUCAGUCUUGUUCAGAAGCUGCUGGAACAUGGUGUGUGGUUGGUGUGUGUGUGGUUGGUGCGUUGAACACCUGCCCCACCUCACUUUGCUCAGAGUGAAUGGCUGUACGACUGUGGCACAACUAGAACAUCAAAUCCCUGAUCUUCUGGAUCCGAAGACCUGCUCCCAGUGCUGCUGCUGUGCAGUGCUUUUGGGCAGAAACGCUGAAUUCUGCUGCCCAGGUCGUUGCCCGGUGACAUGGUGACGGUGAUGCUGGCCUUUGCCUCGGUCCCUCCUCCCUGAGAGCGCUGGCUGGGGGUGCUUCUCUGGUGGCGGUAACGGUAUUGCUUCUAGGAAUUGGGAUACAAGGAAACAACUUCACUGUUUCAAGAAUGAAGGAAUGAGAAGUGUUUUGACCCUUUUUAAAUGCCAAACUAAUAACCUUGCAUAGUAGUAAUUGUGUUCUCUGUUACCACGUGUUGAGACUUUCCUGACACUGGGUUUGUGAAAUCAGAGUUAUUCAGUGGGAGAGCAGCUUUAGACUCUGGGAGUGCCUCUGUCUGCCCCGAUGGCCUUGUUUUGGGCUCUGCUCCAGGAAUGAGAUCAUCAUCUUGGUGACAGCCCCCUGUAACAGGGAGAGUUAAAGCUUUUCCAGCUUUCCUGACAGUUACUUCAGUACUUUGCCACUUUGGUGCACUGGUUUUCCUAAAAGAUGUGGGAACUGUGUGUGUCAGUGCUGUAACGUGGGGUAAAGGGUCUUGUGUUCAGGUUGCUCUCUGAAUACCCACAGGGUGUGUUCCUGGGGUACCCAGGGAUGUUUUUAUUAUGAAGGUCCUCCCUGCAGAGAGGGAGCCUGAGUAUAGUUUAGGAAUUGUUUCUUUAGUACAUGUAUCUCACCCUGGAAUUACAAUAAUACACAAAUGUUGUGCAGGGGUAGGGAGAAACCUUAUCUAUGAGCUCAAGCUUCUCUAAAGAUGUUAUGCUGUAAAGCUUGCAGUUGUUCGGAGUGUGUGUGUUAAAACCUGAGCAUUCAUUGAAAAUGUAAGGGAUGCUUCCCUGUGAAGUAACACACAGAUCCCAGGAGUCUGAAGGAGGAGGGGACCAGAGGCAGCUGCCCCUUGACGGUGUCCCUCUUGGCUUGGGCAGAUGUUAGAAACGCUGCCUCUGAGGAAGAGGCAUCUCUUUUUGCACCGGGGGUUGUGGGUACUUUGUGUGUUGAUUCACACAAACCAUCUGCCUGUAUCUUUUCAGGCACAGAGUGCCCCUGGCGUGAAUAGGAGCUGGGUCAUCACAGAGAAGGGACAGGGCUCCAAACAAAAAGGUGCUUUCUUAGUUUGAUGAGAUUUGUUCUUAACUCUUGUGCUGUCCCCAGCCCAAGGAGUGACCCUUUCUCUCCUUUCCUGUAACACAACAGACCUGCCUUCCCUUGUGCAGUGGUCCCUCGAGCGCUUCAUUCUCGCUGGUCUCUGAUCCCUGACCUGCUGAAGCUUCCAUCGGCACUGGCCAACUUGAGUCCUCCAUCAUCCUGGAGGUGAUGCAGCAUGAGCCUCCCAAAUGAUCCCCUCCAGAGCCUGUAGCUAAGGCUGUUCAUGGGGCUGCACUGACCCCCUCUCGCCAGCUCUAACCUGACCUGUACACAAAGGAGUUUGGGGUUUUUUUGGUUCGAUUGCACAUUUCAGUGUCUACCUGUAGCUCAGACCUUUUUUAACAUACAAGACUAGCAACCAUGAGAGGAGAUGUCAAAGCCACUGUCUAGUUAGACACCCACCCAGAUGUCAGCUAGAGGAAAACGCUGGUGUGAUGUUGUCUGCCUUGUUGUAGUGGUGCUGCUACAGCUCUGCCUGGGACUGUCCCCUUGCUUUCUGUGAACAGAACCAAACAGGGAACCCAAGAACAGGGGAAAGAAAAGGUGCCCGAGAGAGUUACUGUGGCUGGUGCCUGGAAACCAGGUCUUCCUCCUUCAACGUGAGAACACUAGGGCAUGGCAGUGUCCGUGAUGCUCCUCUCUUCUCAGUAAAUCCACACCUGUCUCGGGUAACCCGCUGUGGUGUCAUACUGCUGGGCCCUUUUCUGGUGUUUCCAAAUGAUCGGGGCCCCCCCUCCCCCUCUGGCUGUAUUGCCCAGCACCUCUGAGCAAAACCACCUCCUCACUGAAGGCUGGAAGCUCCUACCUAAGUUCCUACCUAAGCAUCACUUCAUUUUUCCCUCCCAGAGUAAUUCAUAACUCCUGUGUGUCCCUUAGCAAGGGAGAAAACUGCUUCCAAUGUGUUUGGUGCUUGUGAUGGGCAGAGAGAGCAAGAAAGCAUUGGAAAGAGUAAUUUUUUUUGACAUCAGAGCAUUCUGCCUAUCAUACCGUGCUUCUCUCAGCCUGCAGGCAUGCUGCUCCUGGCCUGAGCAAGUGGGCUUAUACCCUGUCUCCCCUUCUCUUAAGUGUCAUCACUUACACCAACAUAGACACUAAUGCAAGUAACUCUUGGAAAAGAAAAUUCCCAGCAGAUGACUUGUUUGUGCUGUUCUUGUGAGAAGUGGGUCAUUGGUUUGCUCUGGCGUAAUGUUCACUGUGAUAAAUGCCUUUUUCCUUCCCUGGUUUUCCUGGACGCCGCGUUUCAGUGAGGGCUGGGUAAUCCAGGGGCAUUUGCGUGAUGUGGCGAUGGGUCUUGCUCUGCUUCAGCCUGUAUUCCCAAAACCUCCCAAUAAUCCCUGGUAAAUACGUAACCAGCCUGGAAGAAACCACCACCGUAGUCGUACUGGUCCUGUAAUCUGAGAUUAGCAUCUAAGGUUAAACCAUUGCUGACAACAUAGGCUUCAGGAAAGAUAGAUAGUAUUUUUGUAGAGUAACUUAUAAAAUGUUCACAUAUCUACACUGUCUUUAUUUAGCAGUGUAAUGUAUCGAAGUGAAUAGUUUCCCAAUAAAUACCGAUUUUGAUGCCUAA